GAAUCUGGUAGGACCAUCCCCCAAGGCUAUUUACACCCUCGUGAUCGAUAGUGAGCCAGUACCGUGAGGGAAAGAUGAAAAGCACCCCGGCAGGCGCUUGGACGAUACCCCGAAACCGUGUGUCUACAAAUUGCAAGAGCCUGUUCACGGGUGAUGGGGUGCAUUUUGUAGACUGUACCAGCGAAUUACGUCCCCGUGCGAGGUUAAGCUGA
rnacentral:rRNA from 1 species